rnacentral:rRNA from 1 species
UAAGGAAUAUUGGUCAAUGGACGCAAGUCUGAACCAGCCAUGCCGCGUGAAGGAUGAAGGUCCUCUGGAUUGUAAACUUCUUUUAUCUGGGACGAAAACGGGAUUUUUAUCUCAAUUGACGGUACCAGAGGAAUAAGCACCGGCUAACUCCGUGCCAGCAGCCGCGGUAAUACGGAGGGUGCGAGCGUUAUCCGGAUUUACUGGGUUUAAAGGGUGCGUAGGUGGGCUUAUAAGUCAGUGGUGAAAUCUCCGAGUUUAACUUGGAAACUGCCGUUGAUACUAUAGGUCUUGAAUUAUCUGGAGNUAAGCGGAAUAUGUCAUGUAGCGGUGAAAUGCUUAGAUAUGACAUAGAACACCAAUUGCGAAGGCAGCUUACUACAUAUAAAUUGACGCUGAGGCACGAAAGCGUGGGGAUCAAACA